ensembl:lncRNA
CCCGAGGUCCAGGUCGGAGGCCCUGAGAGGCAGACGUGGCCGCAGUUUGUCCAGCUCCCUCCCACUCUGGGUUCUGCUCUUCUUCCCAAGUGCAGGUACAGCCAACCUACAGCAUCCACGGGCUCCCCCGCCACCACCCCGGGGGCAAAGCCAGCAGCUCUUCACAGAUGCUUCAACAGCUCCCUCGGCUGCAGAAAUUCUAAUCGCUGCAUCACUCAUAGUGGUUCUGCCCUUCUGAUGAGACUCUCAUACAGCAUCCAAGUGAGAUACCGAGUAGGUGCUGGCUGUGAGUCUCAAGUUCAAGGGAAAUGGUCCCAGAUGGGUGUUAAAUUGGGGAAUUGUUGCCACGUGACUGGUAUUUAAAGCCAUAAGCCUGGGUUAGGUCACCCAAAGAGAGCUUUCAAGCAGGAGAGGAGGUCCACCGCCCUGGGAGCUCCAUGGUACAGAGAUGGGGGCAGGAGGGAACAGCCAAGGAGACCGAGAGCCACCAGUGAGACAGAAGGAAACCCUGAGCACUCGUGGCUCAAGGCGAAGGAGGAACGUCAGGAGGAGCCUGAGCUUGACCAUGUCUGCUGAGAUGAGUUUGGAGAGCGGACUGCCGUGCCUGAAGGCCACGAUGAAAACCACACAAUUCCGGUUUACUUGUGCAGGAAAAGGUGUCAAACGUACACGUAUCAAGCAAAGUAGGCGUCAUGGAUCGCAAAAGGAAGUAGAAGCUUCCUCGAGUAGUGUGGUAACCCCGCAGCGCUUUGCCUGUGGGUAUUUGUCAAAGG